UUUCAAAAUCCAUUUCCCUUUCCUGUUCGCUCAGGGAUUAACAUGUGGAUUAGCAGUUGGAUUAGCAGUUGGAUUAACAACUUCAUUUUAAAAAUCCUGCUGCUAUUCAAAUUAGCCACACCGUGGGAUGUAAGGAGCUCUCUGAUUGGUUGGUCAGACACAGGCUGUCUGCCAGCCUGGAUUUUUCUAGCUCAUAGCUUCGCCCUGCUACGAAGCGUGUGUGCUUGUACAAAGGCCGUUCAGCCUCGGGAUUUACACUCGGCUCGACACGGAUAUGUGAAGAAUGAAGGGAGCCUGCAGCGAAACGGAGAGCUAACCUCUGACUGAGUGCCCGUUUACUCAGUCUGACCACCUGUUGAAGGGCUCUGCGAUGGAGGCUUCAGAAGGGUAACCCGC
ensembl:lncRNA